rnacentral:ncRNA from 2 species
AGAUGAGGUAGAGGUCGCGAAUAUUAAGAGUACGCGCGUGGAGACGUUAAAGAGCCGUCUGUGAAACGCCGCCGAAAGGAAUAUCCGCCGAAGUCUCUGCAGCCGCUCUUGUCAGCUGCAAGACUGGGGCCGUCGCCGAAAGGCACGGAACUGUCACAGUGCACCGCCGGUCAGAAACCGCGGGCCGCCACUGUGUUGCGCUAUCUUAACA